rnacentral:rRNA from 2 species
UGCUUGCACGGGUGGAUGAGUGGCGAACGGGUGAGUAAUACGUGAGUGACCUGCCUUUGACUCUGGGAUAAGCCUGGGAAACUGGGUCUAAUACCGGAUGCGACUACUGCCCGCAUGGGCUGGUGGUGGAAAGGGUUAUGUACUGGUCUUAGAUGGGCUCACGGCCUAUCAGCUGGUUGGUGGGGUAAUGGCCUACCAAGGCGACGACGGGUAGCCGGCCUGAGAGGGUGACCGGCCACACUGGGACUGAGACACGGCCCAGACUCCUACGGGAGGCAGCAGUGGGGAAUAUUGCACAAUGGGCGCAAGCCUGAUGCAGCGACGCCGCGUGAGGGAUGACGGCCUUCGGGUUGUAAACCUCUUUCAGCAGGGAAGAAGCGGAAGUGACGGUACCUGCAGAAGAAGCGCCGGCUAACUACGUGCCAGCAGCCGCGGUAAUACGUAGGGCGCAAGCGUUGUCCGGAAUUAUUGGGCGUAAAGAGCUCGUAGGCGGCUUGUCGCGUCUGCUGUGAAAGCCCGGGGCUUAACUCCGGGUGUGCAGUGGGUACGGGCAGGCUAGAGUGCAGUAGGGGUAACUGGAAUUCCUGGUGUAGCGGUGAAAUGCGCAGAUAUCAGGAGGAACACCGAUGGCGAAGGCAGGUUACUGGGCUGUUACUGACGCUGAGGAGCGAAAGCAUGGGGAGCGAACAGGAUUAGAUACCCUGGUAG